rnacentral:rRNA from 1 species
GCGCUGCAUUAGCUAGUUGGUAAGGUAACGGCUUACCAAGGCAACGAUGCAUAGCCGACCUGAGAGGGUGAUCGGCCACACUGGAACUGAGACACGGUCCAGACUCCUACGGGAGGCAGCAGUAGGGAAUCUUCCGCAAUGGGCGAAAGCCUGACGGAGCAACGCCGCGUGAGUGAUGAAGGUCUUCGGAUCGUAAAACUCUGUUAUUAGGGAAGAACAUAUGUGUAAGUAACUGUGCACAUCUUGACGGUACCUAAUCAGAAAGCCACGGCUAACUACGUGCCAGCAGCCGCGGUAAUACGUAGGUGGCAAGCGUUAUCCGGAAUUAUUGGGCGUAAAGCGCGCGUAGGCGGUUUUUUAAGUCUGAUGUGAAAGCCCACGGCUCAACCGUGGAGGGUCAUUGGAAACUGGAAAACUUGAGUGCAGAAGAGGAAAGUGGAAUUCCAUGUGUAGCGGUGAAAUGCGCAGAGAUAUGGAGGAACACCAGUGGCGAAGGCGACUUUCUGGUCUGUAACUGACGCUGAUGUGCGAAAGCGUGGGGAUCAAACAGGAUUAGAUACCCUGGUAGUCCACGCCGUAAACGAUGA